UACGUAGGGUCCGAGCGUUGUCCGGAAUUACUGGGCGUAAAGAGCUCGUAGGUGGUUUGUCGCGUUGUUCGUGAAAACUCACAGCUUAACUGUGGGCGUGCGGGCGAUACGGGCAGACUUGAGUACUGCAGGGGAGACUGGAAUUCCUGGUGUAGCGGUGAAAUGCGCAGAUAUCAGGAGGAACACCGGUGGCGAAGGCGGGUCUCUGGGCCGAUACUGACGCUGAGGAGCGAAAGCAUGGGGAGCGAACAGG
rnacentral:rRNA from 1 species